UUUUAAAAAUAUAUUUCAUAAUAAUUCUUUAUUACAAUAUAUUAAGUAACUUAAAUAUUAUAUUAGCCAUCAUUAUCAUAGUUAUUUCAAACAUACGCGUAUACACUAUAAAUUAAUCAUCAAGAAAAUAAGCAUACAUAUCGCAAAAAUCAAUUCAGAAUCGUCUUUAGACAUAACACUAAAAUUUCAUUGCGCACAUAAUUUUAAAAAGAAAUUAAAUGUUUAUUUAUAAAUAAUAAAUAGAUAUU